UUAAGCGCUCCGUGCGGAAACCGGCGGCGCACUCUUGCACUCGCGCGGCAUGUGAAUGAUCCGAUCGCACGCGCCGCUCGCAUCGCCAAACGAGAGCUCGAAUCCGACGGCUGAUCGACGCGUUUUUAACCGAUGAUCGCGCGCGCUUGACGCUGAAGUGGUCAUGUUGAGGGUUUGCGCUCUGCUGCUGCUGGCGGCUCUCGGCUCCUACUCGGACACACAGAGACCCCGACACGACUCCAACCUGGAGAUCUAUAAGCAUCUGUUCGAGACCAAGAGGAAGGAUCAGCUGAACGCGCUGAAGAACCUGGUGGAGCUCAGCGACGUCAACCAGCAGUACAAGAUCAUCGACAUCAUGCUGAAGGGCCUCUUC